rnacentral:rRNA from 1 species
AGUGAACGCUGGCGGUAGGCCUAACACAUGCAAGUCGAACGGCAGCACAGUAAGAGCUUGCUCUUACGGGUGGCGAGUGGCGGACGGGUGAGGAAUACAUCGGAAUCUACUUUUUCGUGGGGGAUAACGUAGGGAAACUUACGCUAAUACCGCAUACGACCUACGGGUGAAAGCAGUGGAUCUUCGGACCUUGCGCGAUUGAAUUAGCCGAUGUCGGAUUAGCUAGUUGGCGGGGUAAAGGCCCACCAAGGCGACGAUCCGUAGCUGGUCUGAGAGGAUGAUCGGCCACACUGGAACUGAGACACGGUCCAGACUCCUACGGGAGGCAGCAGUGGGGAAUAUUGGACAAUGGGCGAAAGCCUGAUCCAGCCAUACCGCGUGGGUGAAGAAGGCCUUCGGGUUGUAAAGCCCUUUUGUUGGGAAAGAAAAGCAGCAGGUUAAUACCCCGCUGUUCUGACGGUACCCAAAGAAUAAGCACCGGCUAACUUCGUG